rnacentral:rRNA from 1 species
UACGGAGGGUGCAAGCGUUAUCCGGAUUCACUGGGGUUAAAGGGUGCGUAGGUGGUCAAGUAAGUCAGUGGUGAAAUUUCCGGGCUUAACCCGGAAACUGCCAUUGAUACUAUUUGUCUUGAAUACUGUGGAGGUCAGCGGAAUAUGUCAUGUAGCGGUGAAAUGCUUAGAUAUGACAUAGAACACCAAUUGCGAAGGCAGCUGGCUACACAAAUAUUGACACUGAGGCACGAAAGCGUGGGGAGCAAACAGG